rnacentral:rRNA from 1 species
UACGGAGGGAUGCAAGCGUUAUCCGGAUUCACUGGGUUUAAAGGGUGCGUAGGCGGACAGGUAAGUCAGUGGUGAAAUCUCCGAGCUUAACUCGGAAACUGCCUUUGAUACUCUCUGUCUUGAAUAUGGUGGAGGUAAGCGGAAUAUGUCAUGUAGCGGUGAAAUGCUUAGAGAUGACAUAGAACACCUAUUGCGAAGGCAGCUUACUACGCCUAUAUUGACGCUGAGGCACGAAAGCGUGGGGGAUCAAAACAGG